GCUCCGUGAGACCAAUGGAGGUGAGGGGGACUUGUGUGUUCGACCUGUGCUUUCAAGCCCACUGCGGCGCGGACUUAAGAAAUUCGGAUUUCCAGGCACCGACUCAGGAGAUUCUGGCUCAGCAAGUUUAGGGCAGAGGCCAGGAAUCAAUAUUCUCAACAAAGGUCCUGACGCAACCGGUGGGGGCACAAAAUUUCGGAACCGCUCUCUUAACGCUACUAAAUAAGGACUUUUGAAGGAGCACAGAGAUGACAUCACUGUCCUUGAAUUUUCUCCUUCCCACACUCUGCCAACACUUGCUUUACCUCCUUUGUUUCAGAUGCGUCACCUGAGGUCGCCAGAUACCUUCUGUUCACCGUGCUGUGAGAGGGGGACAAAGGAACACAACUUUGUACCCACAAAAGAACACUGACAAAAGUUAAGUGGGAUGAUGUGUAAGUCUUAAAAGUCCCACCUCUCAACCCAGGUACCUGGGACCUUUGAUUCCUGAGUCUUUCUGGGCUUCAGCAGCUUCUGCAAGACCUAAGGUUCGUCUACUCAGCUAAAUCAUCCAUCCACUUUCUGUCUUCUAAAAAGGACCUGACAUCUCUGGUGGCGGACUUCAUCACCAAAACGUCACACAGCUGACCCUGAGGAGAAAACCCCUCUAUCUUUGUUUCAUUGGCUCUAUCAUCAAUACAACAAAUAUUUACUGAGCAUCAGCUAUGUGCCAGGAACCAGGGAAACAGCAAUGGUCAAGCACACACUGUCAUUGCUUUCUUAGAACUUAACAGUUGGUAACAGACCUGGAACUUAAUUCAAAGAAGCUAAGAGGACCUCCCCACACACCCUCAAAGAAGACCUUCCAUACAAAUGUUCUAGUAUGAGGCACAAGUCCUAACUGGAGUCCUUACUCAAAACCAGAAUGCCCUCUUGAGCAAAAAUGACCCUGUAAAGAUCAUUACUUAAUACCAGUAAUUUUUCAGGCUCACUUGCACUUAAAAGGAGGUUUUCAUAAGCUCCACAUUCAAGGAAAAGGGUUGGGGAGGCUAAGGGGCAGUGCAGAAAUCGGGUGUUGCAAAGGAUGGACAGGAAUUUAGGAAUUAUAGGCCAAAAAUUAAUCGCAAAAUGUCCCCCAAAUUUUUAAGCUAAACAUCUCCUUUUGAAAAAAUAUUGCCCGAAAUUUUGCUAUAAAACCAAGAGAGGACAGUACAAUUCUUUCAGUGUCAUCUAGGACAUUGUUUAACAAGUCCACUGAAGGGUUAAUUUUCUAGCAGGGACUGGCAAACUUUUUCUGUAAAGGUCCAGAUAGUAAAUAUUUUAGGCUUUAAGGUUGGCCCUAUGCUCUCUGUCAACUAUUCAAUUCUGUUGUUUUAGUACUCUGUUAUUGUAGAGCGAUGCAGACAAUGUGUAAACAAAUGGGUGUGGCUGUGUUCCAAUAAAACUUUAUUUAAAAUGCCAACAGUAGGGCCAGAUUUGGCCCUCUGGUCAUAUGUGUAGGCCAAGGAAUUUACCUUUGUUUGCCCAUAUAUUUACUGUUAAU